GGAGGAUGCGAGCGUUAUCCGGAUUUAUUGGGUUUAAAGGGUGCGCAGGCGGAAUGUCAAGUCAGCGGUAAAAUUUCGGGGCUCAACCCCGUCGUGCCGUUGAAACUGGCGUUCUUGAGUGAGCGAGAAGUAUGCGGAAUGCGUGGUGUAGCGGUGAAAUGCAUAGAUAUCACGCAGAACUCCGAUUGCGAAGGCAGCAUACCGGCGCUCAACUGACGCUCAUGCACGAAAGCGUGGGUAUCGAACA
rnacentral:rRNA from 1 species